AGUGAACGCUGGCGGUAGGCCUAACACAUGCCAGUCGAACGGCAGCACAGUAAGAGCUUGCUCUUACGGGUGGCGAGUGGCGGACGGGUGAGGAAUACAUCGGAAUCUACUUUUUCGUGGGGGAUAACGUAGGGAAACUUACGCUAAUACCGCAUACGACCUACGGGUGAAAGCAGGGGAUCUUCGGACCUUGCGCGAUUGAAUGAGCCGAUGUCGGAUUAGCUAGUUGGCGGGGUAAAGGCCCACCAAGGCGACGAUCCGUAGCUGGUCUGAGAGGAUGAUCAGCCACACUGGAACUGAGACACGGUCCAGACUCCUACUGGAGGCAGCAGUGGGGAAUAUUGGACAAUGGGCGCAAGCCUGAUCCAGCCAUACCGCGUGGGUGAAGAAGGCCUUCGGGUUGUAAAGCCCUUUUGUUGGGAAAGAAAAGCAGCAGGUUAAUACCCCGCUGUUCUGACGGUACCCAAAGAAUAAGCGCCGGCUAACUUCGUG
rnacentral:rRNA from 1 species